GUUCGCGGGUCGGGGAAGGCGGAGCAGCCGGGCUGGGAGGAGCGAGCCGAGGGAGCGCGGUGCCGGCGGUGCCCGCAGAGCCGGGCCGGGCCCGGCCUCGCCGUGAGGGAGCGCCGUGCCGGGACACAUCCCUGGGCCGUGCAGGGAGCAUCCCCACACGCUGUCCGAGGGAGCAUCCCCUGCGUCCGGGGCCGGGAGGGGUGUGCGAGUUCGGCUCUCGAUAGAUGAUGCAGGAUGCCAGAGCCGAGCACAGAUCGCCGCAGUGAAUUGUUCACUAAAUAGAAUCACAGAAUUAUGUGGGUUGGAACCUUACAGAUCAUCUAGUCACAGCUCCUCUGCCAGGACAGGACACACCUUCCACUAGACCAUGUUGCUCAGAGCCCCAGCCGGUGUAUACUCAUUGCUCAAGCAAAGUGAGAAAAUCUUUGUCUCAUACAGUCACUUAACUCCUCCGUGUUUGUCCUAGGAAGAUUUUCAGGAUAGCGGCAUUUCAAAAAGAUAAUUUCGAAAUUUCCAUGUUGGCUCUGACUCCUCCUUUCACAUGGAAAUUUCCUGAAAAUCCCCACUGAUAAUGAGGUGUUUAGAUUCUGGCUGAGAUCCUGGUUUGCCUGCUGUCACACUGGCAAUGUAAUGAUACACUUGCUCAGAACUAUUGGUAAUGAGUGCUACAACCAUGGAAACCAACAGCCCUUGAAAUCCUCUGUGUAUUCUCCUGCCAGCCUCAAUCAACCCUUCCUUGUCAGUGUUUGCCACACUCUAGUGUCUAAUUUGAUCAAAGAUAAUUGAAGAGUACAAGGGAGAGAUGGGAAAGAGGGAAAAAAUAACAAGGAGGAGGACAGGUGCCAUCCAGCUGCUUUAUCACUGCCCUCCUCAGCAGGGUCCAGGGGAGGAAUAUAGGAUGAAGAAAAACUCAUAGACUGAGAUGAAGGCAGUUUAAUCAGAAAAAAGGAAAGACUGCACAUGGAAGCAAAAGGAAAGCAGACCUAUUCUCUACUUCCCAUCACAGGUGAUCUCUCGCCAAUGCCUGGGAAACAGGGCUUUGGUGUGCAUAGUGGAUUCUCUAGAAAAUAAACACCUGAAUGAAAAAUGCCCCUCUUCCUUCUUCUUUAUCUUAGUUUUAUUGCUGACUACAAUGUCUCCUUGUUCAGCUUGAGUCAGCUGUCCUGGCCUUGUACUCUCUCAAGCACUUGGCCACCCCCAGCCUACUGGCCUUUAGGGGUACUCACCUUUGUAUGGGGUAAAAUAACCCAGAGGAUAUUGGAGAGACUUCCUUGGUGCUGUGGGAGCAGUGCUCAGGAGUAGCCAAAACACUUGUGAGUGAUACUGACACCUUCCUAACUACAGGUACAGUGCACAGCACUGAGAGCUGCUGUGGAAAGGUUGAUUCCAUCCCAGCCACACUCAAGACAAUCUCCAUUCCUUAUCCAUACCAUUUGCAUCAUGCUUAUGUCCCACAUAAUUGAAUACAAUUAUACCUCUUCAAGCUAUCCUUUUGUGUUUAAAACUCAUUACUGAAAUAUUUUCUUAGCAACCCAGUUUAUGUUGCAUUAUUUAAAUUAUCUUUAUACUCAAUGUACAGAUUUAUAUAUUCUCAUUAAGUGUUAUCCUGGGUCCCUUAACAGAUAUUUAUUAUUCUCCAAUUCCAUGGGCCUCCUCCACUCCUCCAAAUGUUUCUAUAUACAGACUAUGUUUUGGGCCCAGCUGCCAUCCUUUUACAUCUUUGUACAUUCUUUGGGAGCUUGGAAACAUCUCCCUUUUCUCCUGUGCUGGUUAUCUUUACCAGUGCUCUGAGGUGCUCCAGGAAGGGCACUGCUGCAGGUCUGUGCUGGAAUUAUCUCAGUUGCAGAAAGUCUUUUGAUACCUCAGCCUCCUGUGUAUGUACCAAAGUUUGCUAUGUUUUUCAUCUGCUUAGACCCCAUUUUGAAUAUCCAAUACUUAAGUACUCUCAAUUAGUUUUCUUAUAGAAAUGUUGCAGAAAAAAAUUAUUUCCAAUGUAGCAUAUCAGGGAAUAAUGACUAGGGGCAUCAGAAUAAGAAAGCAACUAGCAAAUGAAAUAGGACAUUUUGUGCAUACCAUAUGAAUUUGAGAAGGGGGUCGCUUAUCCAUGUGAGCUGUUAUUGCAACGAUAAAAAGGUUUUCCUCUUCUGCAUUAUUCAUCAGUUCCUCCAAAAAUCUCACACCAUGUGCAGAAGCUGUUAGAUGUCAUACAGACAAAAGACCACUUCUUCCUUGAACUCUGAAGAUCAAAGUUUUUACAUUGGACUCUUAGCAUGUUCCCUCAGUAUAGCUCUAGAUUCUGAUAAGGGCUUUCUGUUGAAGGCACAGCCUGCAGGUGCAGGGCAUGAUAUGUAAGUGUGUUUGAGCAGAGAAUGUGUUAUUGAGAUGUGCUUUGAAUGAGAGCCAUGUUUACACUCAAUCCUGUGAAGGGUUCCAGUGAUUUCUGAAGUUUGUCACUGAUGGAAGGUGUCUGCCCUCACAGCUAAGGCUACAUACAGCCUUAAUGUGUGAGCAGCAUUUUUAAAUGUAGAAAUGAAACAAACCAAUGAAAACAUAGAGGAGUCAAAAGGAUGGGGAAUUUUUAGUAUAAAUCCUGUCUUGAUGUGGCAAUAGGCAUGGAAAGGGAGUGAAGAAAGAAUCAACAUAUUAGGAACAUGAUUUAGUGAGCACCAAAACUACGAGUGGUUCAUUGAAUCCUUGACUAGUGAGUGAUCUGUGCUCACCUGCUGCUCAGGAGAGCAAAGUGAACUUAACCUGCAGGCUGACAGUCUGUAAUGAAUUCCCCUCUAGCUGCUGCACAAGAGCUGACCUGGCACUGUGUGCCACUGGCAUUGUCCACACGUUGGCAUUACCAUCACAGCAGGGGUUUCAUGCCAAUACACAGCAGUGUUUAACAACAAUGACCGCUCGAUGUCACUGCUGUCAUUCAAAUCCGGACUUGAAAAGAUUUCAGCUGUGUUUUUAUGUUUGUGAGGAUGUGAAUGUGACAUUUCAGAUGAGCAGCUUGACACAUCUUUUCAAACAGCUGUUUAAUAAUCAGCUUCGUGAAACACUCUUGAGGGAGGAUAGAUUUUUCUUCUGUGUGUUCCUCAAGUCCUUGUAGAAUAUAACUAUAAAAAAUGUUGUGAUCUGAAUUUCUUAUUUUUUCAUAGAAUCCCUUUAAAAUAUACUCAGGGUAAUUUAAGGUGCCAUCUGUAUUACAAAUCUAUGGGUAGAAGCUUUUACAUGUCAGUAUAUUUUUAGUGACUAUCCUUCAUACACAAGCACAUUUCAUGAGAUCUUUCAGUAUUUUAAUUUGUUACAGAGGUGUUUAUUUGAUGCAGUUUAAAGUAUUCAUAUACAUUUUGUAGUGCUAGAGAAGAACACAUGACUUUUUGGAAGAACAGCUGUACAAAAUUGUUAUCAACUUUGGUAACUAUUUGCCAUAAACUGCUGUUAAUGAUUGUAUUAGAGUUAAAAGAUAUGGAAAGUAUUUUAAAAUAAUUGCUUGGA